rnacentral:rRNA from 1 species
AUUGAACGCUGGCGGCAGGCUUAACACAUGCAAGUCGAGCGGAGACUUCGGUCUUAGCGGCGAACGGGUGAGUAAUACCUAGGAAUCUGCCUAUUAGUGGGGGAUAACGAAUCGAAAGGUUCGCUAAUACCGCAUACGUCCUACGGGANAAAGGGGGGAUCUUCGGACCUCUCGCUAAUAGAUGAGCCUAGGCCGGAUUAGCUAGUUGGUAGGGUAAAGGCUCACCAAGGCGACGAUCUGUAGCGGGUCUGAGAGGAUGAUCCACCACACUGGAACUGAGACACGGUCCAGACUCCUACGGGAGGCAGCAGUGGGGAAUUUUGGACAAUGGGCGCAAGCCUGAUCCAGCCAUGCCGCGUGAGUGAAGAAGGCCUUCGGGUUGUAAAGCUCUUUCGGCCGGGAAGAAAUCGCACAGGUUAAUACCCUGUGUGGAUGACGGUACCGGAAUAAGAAGCACCGGCUAACUACGUG